UACGUAGGGUGCGAGCGUUGUCCGGAAUUAUUGGGGCGUAAAGAGCUCGUAGGCGGCUUGUUGCGUCGGAUGUGAAAGCCCGGGGCUUAACUCCGGGUCUGCAUUCGAUACGGGCAGGCUAGAGUUCGGUAGGGGGAGAUCGGAAUUCCUGGUGUAGCGGUGAAAUGCGCAGAUAUCAGGAGGAACACCGGUGGCGAAGGCGGGUCUCUGGGCCGAAUUGACGCUGAGGAGCGAAAGCGUGGGGAGCAAACAGG
rnacentral:rRNA from 1 species